rnacentral:rRNA from 1 species
AUUGAACGCUGACGGCAUGCCUUACACAUGCAAGUCGAACGGUAACAGGGAGCUUGCUCCGCUGACGAGUGGCGAACGGGUGAGUAAUGCAUCGGAACGUACCCAGUAGUGGGGGAUAACGCAGCGAAAGCUGUGCUAAUACCGCAUACGCACUGAGGUGGAAAGCAGGGGACCUUCGGGCCUUGUGCUAUUGGAGCGGCCGAUGUCAGAUUAGCUAGUUGGUGGGGUAAAAGCUCACCAAGGCGACGAUCUGUAGCUGGUCUGAGAGGAUGAUAAGCCACACUGGGACUGAGACACGGCCCAGACUCCUACGGGAGGCAGCAGUGGGGAAUUUUGGACAAUGGGGGCAACCCUGAUCCAGCCAUGCCGCGUGGGUGAAGAAGGCCUUCGGGUUGUAAAGCUCUUUCGGCCGGGAAGAAAUCGCCAUCUCUAACAUAGGUGGUGGAUGACGGUACCGGAAUAAGAAGCACCGGCUAACUACGUGCCAGCCGCCGCCGUAA